rnacentral:rRNA from 1 species
GACGAACGCUGGCGGCGUGCUUAACACAUGCAAGUCGAACGGAAAGGCCCUGCUUGCAGGGUCCUCGAGUGGCGAACGGGUGAGUAACACGUGGGUGAUCUGCCCUGCACUUCGGGAUAAGCCUGGGAAACUGGGUCUAAUACCGGAUAGGAGCCAUUUUUAGUGUGAUGGUUGGAAAGUUUUUUUCGGUGUAGGAUGAGCUCGCGGCCUAUCAGCUUGUUGGUGGGGUAAUGGCCUACCAAGGCGGCGACGGGUAGCCGGCCUGAGAGGGUGGACGGCCACAAUGGGACUGAGAUACGGCCCAGACUCCUACGGGAGGCAGCAGUGGGGAAUAUUGCACAAUGGGCGCAAGCCUGAUGCAGCGACGCCGCGUGGGGGAUGACGGCCUUCGGGUUGCAAACUACUUUCGCUAGGGACGAAGCUUUUUGUGACGGUACCUAGAUAAGAAGCACCGGCUAACUACGUG